UCAUGUUUCUAUGGAAGGGAAUUAGGUCUAACUUUAUAUGAUAGUAAAAGAUAGGUGAGAUUUCAAAAAGGGUUGUGUUUUGGCUAUGAAAUGAUGGGUCUUGUAUAUCGUACAAAAAGAUAAAAUCAAUUAUUUCAGUUCAGACUCUACUUAAUAGAAUCCAGCUAUUAUUCUUUUAGGAUGACGAAAAUCUUCAUCCUCUAAGUCGUUUUAGAUGAUAAUAAAAGAUAGGUGAGAUUCCAAAAAGGGUUGUGUUUUGGCUAUGAAAUGAUGGGUCUUGUAUAUCGUACAAGAAGAUAAAAUCAAUUAUUUCAGUUCAGACUCUCCUUAAUAGAAUCCAGCUAUUAUCCUUUUAGGAUGAUGAAAAUCUUCAUUCUCUUAAGUCGUUUUAGAUGAUAAUAAAAGAUAGGUGACAUUCCAAAAAGGGUUGUAUUUUGGCUAAUAAAAUGAUCGGUCUUGUGUAUUGUACAAGAAGAUAAAAUCAAUUAUUUUAGUUCAGACUCAACUUAAUAGAAUCCAGCUAUUAUUCUUUUAGGAUGACGAAAACCUUCAUCCUCUAAGUCGUUUUAGAUGAUAAUAAAAGAUAGGUGAGAUUCCAAAAAAAGUUGUGCUUUGGCUAUGAAAUGAUAGGUCCUGUAUAUUGUACAAGAAGAUAAAAUCAAUUAUUUCAGUUUAGACUCUCCUUAAUAGAAUCCAGCUAUUAUUCUUUUAGGAUGAUGAAAAUCUUCAUUCUCUUAAGUCGUUUUAGAUGAUAAUAAAAGAUAGGUGAGAUUCCAAAAAGGGUUGUAUUUUGGCUAUGAAAUGAUCGGUCUUGUAUAUUGUACAAGAAGAUAAAAUCAAUUAUUUCAGUUCAGACUCAACUUAAUAGAAUCCAGCUAUUAUUUUUUUAGGAUGACGAAAACCUUCAUCCUCUAAGUCAUUUUAGAUGAUAAUAAAAGAUAGGUGAGAUUCCAAAAAGGGUUGUGUUUUGGCUAUGAAAUGAUGGGUCUUGUUUAUUGUACAAGAAGAUAAAAUCAAUUAUUUCAGUUCAAACUCUCCUUAAUAGAAUCCUGCUAUAUAUUAUCCUUUUAGGAGGAUGGAGACCUUCGUCCUCUAAGUCGUUUUAGAUAAUAAGAAUUUCAAAUUAAUGAUUGGAACUGUUAAAGUUGAUCUAGAGUAUUUAGAGUAUCUAGAAAUUAAAUUUCAUGAAUUUUAAAAAUUAUUUACGUAGUGAUCACAGGAUCACAAAAUUGGCAGUUUUUUAUGCCUUAUAUGAGCCAUUUGCUUGUUUAACGGCAUAGAACAAAUCAAACAGCUUGAGUUUUUGAUGAAAAUUUUUUUUAUACUAUUUAGAUAACGUUUGAUAAUUCUGAUCAUAAAAUGAAAGUCUAAUAUCUAUUUUCAUAAGAUUAUUCGUUUUUGACUGUUUAUUUUUCGACUCUUCAAUAAACUUAAUGACGAAUUUUAAAAUAUAUGAAAUUUAGUUUCUAGACAUUAUAAAUACUCUAAAUCAACAUUAACGAUUCCAAUCAUCAAUUCGGAAUUCCUAUCAUCUAAAAUAACUUAGGAGGACGAAAGCCUUCUUUGUCCUAAAAGGAUAGUAGCUGGA
rnacentral:lncRNA from 1 species